rnacentral:rRNA from 1 species
GACGAACGCUGGCGGCGUGCUUAACACAUGCAAGUCGAACGGAAAGGCCCUGCUUUUGUGGGGCGCUCGAGUGGCGAACGGGUGAGUAACACGUGAGUAACCUGCCCCUGACUUUGGGAUAACUUCAGGAAACUGGGGCUAAUACCGGAUAGGAGCUCCUGCUGCAUGGUGGGGGUUGGAAAGUUUCGGCGGUUGGGGAUGGACUCGCGGCUUAUCAGCUUGUUGGUGGGGUAGUGGCUUACCAAGGCUUUGACGGGUAGCCGGCCUGAGAGGGUGACCGGCCACAUUGGGACUGAGAUACGGCCCAGACUCCUACGGGAGGCAGCAGUGGGGAAUAUUGCACAAUGGGCGGAAGCCUGAUGCAGCAACGCCGCGUGCGGGAUGACGGCCUUCGGGUUGUAAACCGCUUUCGCCUGUGACGAAGCGUGAGUGACGGUAAUGGGUAAAGAAGCACCGGCUAACUACGUG